rnacentral:tRNA from 1 species
GGUUUGAGGCUCAGCGGUAGAGCGCUCGCCUAGCAUGUGUGCGCCCUGGGUUCAAUCCUCAGCACCA